CUUCUGCGUCGCUCACGCUGGGAGCUGUAGACCGGAGCUGUUCCUAUUCGGCCAUCUUGGCUCCUCCUUAUUUGGCCUUUUCAAGCCUCCUGACUCCACCUUAUGACUCCUGACUCCACCUCGUGACUUCUCCAGGCCCCACCACUGGAGGGAGCAGCAGAGCUGAAGCGCUGUUCCUGCCUUCCAGAGCCGCCCUGCUUGCUUUUAGCAUGUGAAGAGGGCCAACAAGGCAGAAAUGAAUGGAUUUCCAAGCUCUGCCUCCUCUCCUACCUUUCCUCCUAUGCUCGCCAAGGUCCCAGCGUCUCCUACAGUUUGGGGUUUGUGUUCUCUCAUCUUUUCUUCCUUGUUGGAGUGAUUGAAAUAAAUAAGUUCAACCAAUAGGUGGAAACAAGUCAGCUUGAGUUUCACCAGAAAGCGUAGGAGGACCUAGGUAUCAAGAGAAGGUGAAAGAAUUCUUCAGAUGUGGAUGGAGUCUACGAACCGCAGACCCAGAAUUUCUAAGAAGAUAUGAAUGUGAGAUAAUGAAAGUUACUUCUUUUUCCUGAGCUCUUACACUGUGCUAAGCACAUAACAUCCUUAUUGCACUCAUAAGAGUUUGACACUCAUUAUUCUCCUCCUGCAGAUGAGGACGCCGAGGCGGGAGAAAUUAAGGGACUUGUCUAAGGUCACAGGCUUGUCUGCCUCCUGGGCUGGGGACUUUAAUCUCUACCUUAAGCUGCAGUUUAAAGAGAAAGAAAAAGAAAACAAACUUGAAGUUGAGCAAACAUGGGGCAGAGACAGCUCAAGGUUAUUUCUCUUCAUAUUUCAAUGAUAACCUCAGGUUGUGAUUUUUAGAAUUUUUCUCUUGUAUUUUCCUUUUAAAUUUGUUAUGGCUUUGUAGCCUUUAACUUUUGUUUGCAGUUAGUAUCCUUUGAACUUCAUUAUCUGUUUUCUCUAUGAUUUCUAAGAGAAAAAUCUGCAGAAAAAAAUAAUUACAGCUACCAUUUAUGGAUUACCUUUUGCAUGCUAGGCAAUUUACAGACAUCAUAGCGAAUCCUCUAACAACUCUCAGGAUUAGGUCUAUUAUUAUUCACUUCAACUUUACAAAAAGAGAGGCUGAGACUCAGAAAGUUUUCAUGGCUUGUCCAAGGACAUGCAGUUGGAGGUCUCCAGGAGGGGAUGAGUCACUGGAAAAUCUUUUGACAGAGCCUUUAAUGAAAAGUACUCAGGAACUUCUAAUGCUCCCUACCAGGUCUUCCCUUAUUAAGUCCCCUAAUGUGUGACCAGUGUGUAAAGCAAAGGGAUUUGCCCCAAGUUGACUCUCUGAUGUUGUAAAAUGGUCAGUAGUGUAAUAAUGGUGACCCUAUUAACAGACAAAGUGGCCCUUUUCCAUGUUGUCCCAAAGGAUUGUCAGGCCUGGCGCCAGCAAGAAUUGCUACUGAGGGAGGAAUCUUGCCUAGAACUUUUUUGAGACCUGCCACCAUCCAGUCUGCUCUUUGUUCCCCUUUGAGCCUGGCCUCAUUUGGCUGUUCUCCCUCUGGUAUGCCCCUAGCUAGCGUGCCAGCCAAGCUGUUGCCCUUCACACACCCCGCCCGCAGACCGAUAUGCUUGCUCCCUUUGCUUGGCUGCCAGGGAGAGGAUUUAUAUCAAGAUUGCUCAACUAGGAAAUGCCGAGUUCCAUACAAUUCCAAUGCUUGCUUUCUGUCACAUUUUUGUUAUUUCAUAGUCUUGACCUUUAACCUUUAUGUCGAGAAAUCCUUGUGGAUGAGUCUACCUUUGAAUGAUUUGUCUUGCAGCCUCAGGUUUAAUAUUCUGUGUCUCGAAUUAUUUUAGAUGCCUGGGCUAGUCUGCCUCUGCUCUCAUUGACCCGCUAUCAAUAAACACAGGGUUUGCUUAACAAUAAG
rnacentral:lncRNA from 1 species